rnacentral:rRNA from 1 species
GACGAACGCUGGCGGCGUGCUUAACACAUGCAAGUCGAACGGAAAGGCCCUGCUUUUGUGGGGUGCUCGAGUGGCGAACGGGUGAGUAACACGUGAGUAACCUGCCCUUGACUUUGGGAUAACUUCAGGAAACUGGGGCUAAUACCGGAUAGGAGCUCCUGCUGCAUGGUGGAGGUUGGAAAGUUUCGGCGGUUGGGGAUGGACUCGCGGCUUAUCAGCUUGUUGGUGGGGUAGUGGCUUACCAAGGCUUUGACGGGUAGCCGGCCUGAGAGGGUGACCGGCCACAUUGGGACUGAGAUACGGCCCAGACUCCUACGGGAGGCAGCAGUGGGGAAUAUUGCACAAUGGGCGGAAGCCUGAUGCAGCAACGCCGCGUGCGGGAUGACGGCCUUCGGGUUGUAAACCGCUUUCGCCUGUGACGAGGCGUGAGUGACGGUAAUGGGUAAAGAAGCACCGGCUAACUACGU